UACGUAGGCAGCGAGCGUUGUUCGGAGUUACUGGGCGUAAAGCGUGCGUAGGCGGUGUCUUAAGUUUGUUGUGAAAUCUCACGGCUUAACCGGGAGGGUGCGGCGAAUACUGAGAUGCUGGAGUGCCGGAGAGGUAAGCGGAAUUCCUGGUGUAGCGGUGAAAUGCGUAGAUAUCAGGAGGAACACCUGCGGUGUAGACGGCUUACUGGACGGUAACUGACGCUGAGGCACGAAAGCGUGGGUAGCAAACAGG
rnacentral:rRNA from 1 species